UCCUAAAAAAUUUAAUAUCCUUGUAUAAUAUCAGUUUAAAUGGUCUGAUAGUUUCUACCCCGCAGCCGAAAAUGCAGGACUACAAGGAAGUGUGCAAAAUAU
rnacentral:ncRNA from 2 species